rnacentral:misc_RNA from 1 species
GAUGAAGAACGUAGCGAAAUGCGAUAAGUAAUGUGAAUUGCAGAAUUCAGUGAAUCAUCGAGUCUUUGAACGCACAUUGCGCCCCCUGGUAUUCCGGGGGGCAUGCCUGUCCGAGCGUCAUUGCUGCCCUCAAGCACGGCUUGUGUGUUGGGCCCCCGUCCCCGGUUUCCCCCGGGGACGGGCCCGAAAGGCAGCGGCGGCACCGCGUCUGGUCCUCGAGCGUAUGGGGCUUUGUCACCCGCUCUGUAGGCCCGGCCGGCGCCAGCCGACACCCAACUUUAUUUCUAAGGUUGACCUCGGAUCAGGUAGGGAUACCCGCUGAACUUAAGCAUAUCAAUAAGCGGAGGA